UCCCCCACCGACUGCAGAACGCGAAGAACCUUACCCACACUUGACAUGUCUCUUGGGACUUUCAGAGAUGAUUGUCUUCGGUUCGGCCGGGGAGAACACAGGUGCUGCAUGGCUGUCGUUAGCUCGUUUUUGUCGUGAGAUGUUGGGUUAAGUCCCGCAACGAGCGCAACCCUUGUCGUAUGUUGCCACCAUUUAGUUGGGCACUCAUGCGAGACUGCCGGUGAUAAGCCGGAGGAAGGCGGGGCGACGUCAAGUCAUCAUGGCCCUUACGUGUGGGGCUAGAAACGUGCUACAAUGGGAGUGACAGUGAGCAGCGAGGUCGCGAGGCCAAGCUAAUCUCCAAAAGCUCUCUCAGUUCAGAUUGUAGUCUGCAACUCGACUACAUGAAGUUGGAAUCGCUAGUAAUCGCAAAUCAGCAUGUUGCGGUGAAUACGUUCCCGGGUCUUGUACACACCG
rnacentral:rRNA from 1 species